rnacentral:rRNA from 1 species
UACGUAGGGCGCAAGCGUUGUCCGGAAUUAUUGGGCGUAAAGAGCGUGUAGGCGGCCAGAUAAGUCCGCUGUGAAAUCUCGAGGCUCAACUUCGAGCUGUCGGUGGAAACUGUCUGGCUAGAGUCCGGAAGAGGAGAAUGGAAUUCCUGGUGUAGCGGUGAAAUGCGCAGAUAUCAGGAAGAACACCCGUGGCGAAGGCGGUUCUCUGGGACGGUACUGACGCUGAGACGCGAAAGCGUGGGGAGCGAACAGG